UUGAUAAGGGCGGGGCUCGACCCGCCUGCACAGGGCUACAACCUGCCACCUUCUCGGCCACCU
rnacentral:tRNA from 1 species